UACGUAGGGCGCGAGCGUUGUCCGGAAUUAUUGGGGCGUAAAGAGCUCGUAGGCGGCCUGUCACGUUCCGCUGUGAAAAUCCCCGGGGGCUCAACCCCGGGGCCCUGCAGUGGGAUACGGGCUGGCUGGAGGCAGGCAGGGGAGAACGGAAUUCCUGGUGUAGCGGUGAAAUGCGCAGAUAUCAGGAGGAACACCGGUGGCGAA
rnacentral:rRNA from 1 species